UGGGGAAUUUUGGACAAUGGGGGAAACCCUGAUCCAGCCAUCCCGCGUGUGCGAUGAAGGCCUUCGGGUUGUAAAGCACUUUUGGCAGGAAAGAAACGUCAUGGGUUAAUACCCCGUGAAACUGACGGUACCUGCAGAAUAAGCACCGGCUAACUACGUGCCAGCAGCCGCGGUAAUACGUAGGGUGCAAGCGUUAAUCGGAAUUACUGGGCGUAAAGCGUGCGCAGGCGGUUCGGAAAGAAAGAUGUGAAAUCCCAGAGCUCAACUUUGGAACUGCAUUUUUAACUACCGGGCUAGGGUGUGUCGGAGGGAGGUGGAAUUCCGCGUGUAGCAGUGAAGUGCGUAGAUAUGCGGAGGAACACCGAUGGCGAAGGCAGCCACCUGGGAUAACACUGACGCUCAUGCACGAAAGCGUGGAGAGCAAACAGG
rnacentral:rRNA from 1 species